rnacentral:rRNA from 1 species
UACGUAGGGGGCAAGCGUUGUCCGGAUUUAUUGGGCGUAAAGAGCGUGUAGGCGGCCCGACAGGUCCGUUGUGAAAACUCGAGGCUCAACCUCGAGACGUCGAUGGAAACCGUCGGGCUAGAGUCCGGAAGAGGAGAGUGGAAUUCCUGGUGUAGCGGUGAAAUGCGCAGAUAUCAGGAGGAACACCGGUGGCGAAGGCGGGUCUCUGGGCCGAUACUGACGCUGAGGAGCGAAAGCGUGGGGAGCAAACAGG